rnacentral:misc_RNA from 1 species
GGUUCGAUGUGGCUCAGAUUGAACGCUGGCGGGAUGCUUUACACAUGCAAGUCGAACGGCAGCACGGACUUCGGUCUGGUGGCGAGUGGCGAACGGGUGAGUAAUGUAUCGGAACGUGCCCUAGUAGCGGGGGAUAACUACGCGAAAGCGUAGCUAAUACCGCAUACGCCCUUCGGGGAAAGCGGGGGACGGGCCUCGCACUAUUAGAAGCGGCCGAUAUCGGAUUAGCUAGUUGGUGGGGUAACGGCUCACCAAGGCAGCGACGAUCCGUAGCUGGUUUGAAGAGGACGACCAGCCACACUGGGACUGAGACACGGCCCAGACUCCUACAGGAGGCAGCAGUGGGGGUACGGACAAUGGGGAAACCUGAUCCAGCCAUCCCGCGUGUGCGAUGAAGGCCUUCGGGUUGUAAAGCACUUUUGGCAGGAAAGAAACGGCACGGGAUAAUACCCCGUGCAACUGACCAGUACCUGCAGAAUAAGCACCGGCU